GACGUAGGGGCGAGCGUUGUCCGGAAUUACUGGGCGUAAAGAGCACGUAGGCGGGUAUUUAAGUCAGUUGUGAAAGACCGCAGCUUAACUGCGGGGUUGCAAAUGAAACUGGGUAUCUUGAGGGCAGGAGAGGUUAGUGGAAUUCCUGGUGUAGCGGUGAAAUGCGUAGAAAUCAGGAGGAACACCGGUGGCGAAGGCGGCUUUCUGGCCAGUUACUGACGCUCAUGCGCGAGAGCUGGGUUAGCGAACUGGAUUAGAUACCCUGGUAGUCCCU
rnacentral:rRNA from 1 species